rnacentral:rRNA from 1 species
UACGGGGGGGGCAAGCGUUGUUCGGAAUUACUGGGCGUAAAGGGUUCGUAGGCGGCCAACUAAGUCAGACGUGAAAUCCCUCGGCUUAACCGGGGAACUGCGUCUGAUACUGGAUGGCUUGAGUUUGGGAGAGGGAUGUGGAAUUCCAGGUGUAGCGGUGAAAUGCGUAGAUAUCUGGAGGAACACCGGUGGCGAAGGCGGCCCACUGGUCAGGUACUGACGCUGAGGUGCGAAAGCGUGGGGAGCAAACAGG